AAUUGGGAUCAGAUAGUGGAGUGUGAAGAUGAGUGAAGGCAAGAAGUAUCAGCUGGGGACGAUUAGAGCGUUGAGUCUUUCAGUGGUUUCAUCUGUUUCGAUCGUGAUAUGCAACAAGGCACUCAUUAGCACUCUUGGCUUCACUUUUUGCCACACUUAGAAACCGAGCUCAUUCUAAUUUAUUGCUAAUUGUAUGAAAUUUGAUGACAUUGUGUUUUGGGUGGACUAAAAAUUCUCUCUUUUUUCAGCCAUUAUACUAAUAACACAAUCUUGGCUAUCUAUUAUUAUACUAAUAACACAAUCUUGGCAAUGGUUUUGGUGUUUGAUCUUAUAUACCACAGCAACCUCAUAAUGCUUAUUUAAUCUUGUUCUCUUGCAGCUUCAACGUCGAAUGAAGAUUGCUGAAUUGAAGCAGAUUUGUACUAGACCUGAUGUUGUUGAGGUCGACACUGAAUUUCUUAUAAGUAUUUUAUAUUGAUCUAGCUUCCACCUAUUUUUGCCUUCGUACAAGCCUUUGUUUGUUAAUCCUUGUAGACUUAUAUAUUGACCAGCACCAACCUUCUUAUCUUUAAAUAUUUGGCAAUGUUAUGAUGCAAGCUAUGAUACGAUUGGGUUAUGAGAGUUCUUACGUGUUUUAACAAAAUACUGGGAAGGGAUGGAGCAUUUUUGAGUAAAGCAAGGCCGAUUAUUAGCUGUGCUUGGCUGGAUAUAUUAUUACUUCUAUAUCAUGUUUAUGAACUCAGCUUGGUAUUGAAGUAGAACUGCUACUUCUUGUGAACUUUAAUCUACAUGGCUGCUAAUGCAAAAGAUGAUGAAACUACUUUUCUCAUUUUCUAUUUCUUCAUAUAUCAAGUCUUUCCAGAGGCAUGGUCACUGUUGUCUUAUAAAAAGUGAAUAAGGAUUAUGUCGUGUUAUGCUCCACCACUUCCAAUUUGAAACCAGUGUUUUUAUAUAUGAUAUUCUCAAAAUCCCCUUGCUGACUGAGAAUAACUGAGCUAUCUCAGGUGACUCGCCAGAUAGUUGUGAACAAAGAGUGAAGUUCUAUAAGGAUUGUGUAUUCCUGCUUUUACUAGGAUCUGAUUAUAUGUAGGGUGCUGCAGAACAACUGCAAUUUGGUCUACUUUAGAAUAUUACUUGAUUCUUUCCAGUAAAUCAAACAGCUACUUCUAUUGCUUUCUAGGUAUGGGAUGCAACUUCAGCAGAUCCAAAGCUGUUGGUAUAUCUGAAGUCAUACCGAAACACUGUUGCACACGUUUGUCACUAUUUGGUGAUUCCUUAUCUGUAUUACCACACACGUUUGUCACCUUUUUAUUAUGUUGUUGCCAUUGCUUCUGCAUCAAGAGGUAUUCUAGCUUGCACUAGCUUUUCUAAUAUCAUUAACACGUACUGUUAUUUACCUUUGUUACAAAAAGUGUGGAUUUGUGGUAGACAUAAGUCUAAAGGUAGAGCUAUGGUUUCUGUAUUGUUUUGAUAAGCUUCUUUACCUUACAAUUUCAAUCUGUUCACAUGUACUGAUUUAUUUAGUAUCAUCAUGCAGUGCUUCAGACACCUAUGGUGAUGACUGAUGAACAAUUAUCAGAGUUCUGGAAUCGAAAUGAUGAAGCUAGUGGAUCUGAGGAAGAAAUUUCUGAUUCUGAUGGGUUCCUGUAGUGGCUAUGGUAACACUACAUGUUUUUGCUCCUCUAUGUUAUGUAUGUCUCCAUCUUCUAUUUUUUCCAAAUCCAGUUCUUGCAUUCCCCUCUAUUUUUUCCAUUUCAGGUAGCUUCUUUGCUUGAUUAUGUAUUUCUUUCUACAUUUUAUGCCUGCUGGAUUAUAGAUUCAUUUCAGGUUCAAGAGAUUCUGCCUGAAGUAUAAAGGUUACAAGUCUAUUGGUGCUAGAAACAUUGUAUGAUAGAUUUUUGUUUUAGCUAUAAGGUUGUUGGUAUUUUCAAUUUUGAAUCGGAAUAUGCAAUGAUGAUGUAUACUUGAUAUUUGGUUCAUUUGUAUAAUAAUGUAUGAAUUUUUUGGAUGAUA